rnacentral:misc_RNA from 1 species
GGGCUAUAUACUUGUGGCAUAAAAUUACUUUUAUAAAUAUUUAUCUAAACUCACUAAAUUAAGUUAAAAUUACGAUAUCAUGGACCAAUAAAAAAUUAAAAUUUUUUUGUUAAUUAAUGUUUUAAUUGACCCAAUAAAGUAAAAAAAUUUAAUAAAUCAAUAUUCUAGUAAUUUAAAAUUUUUUUUAUUAACCUAAAUAAAAAAGAGUGGAUAAACAAAAUUUUAAAAAAAUUAAUAAUUGAAGUCGGGACUAAAUUAAAAAUUUUUUUAAGUAAUUAGGUAUAGGUGUGCGAAUAUGAUGACAACUGAUUGGUCUAAUAAAAAAUAUGUACGCACAAAUAUAUUGACCAACAAUUUUUUUUGUUAUUAAUUGUGAAAUAUGUUUAUGUACAUGAAAUUAUUAGUGUGGGUAUGGAUUUAAUUUAAAUUAAAUAAUUGUUGAUUGGCCCAAUAUUCAUCAUUCCCUAUCUUGAUUAUUAAACUCAUGGAUAUCGUUUUUAUUCUCUUUCUUCCUUAUAUUAUUAUUAUAAAAAUAAUAUAAAACA